rnacentral:misc_RNA from 1 species
GAAAAGCAGUUUACAACCUUCAAAGAUGAAAUGCUGAGGAUAGAUACCCUGAAACAAUCAUUAACAACUUUAAGUAGAAGCUGAGCUUGCAGCAUAAGAAGCCGGUGUAUCGCUUUCAUUUAAAGAGCUCUGUCUGCGAGUGUCAAUAUUAUUCCGGUUGCUCCUUUCGGCAACUGAAUAAUCAGUUGGACGAGUUGGUAUAGAGACUUGGUUACCUCUACUGCUAUCUCUGGUUUCAAGGCGCUCCAUCAUACGAGAUACACUUGCAAUUCCAGCAUUCACUUCUCUCUGGACUUCAGAACCAAGAGCCGACAUCGAACUGUUACGAGAGAACAACCUCUCCUUCCACCCUCUUGUACUUCUUGAAAUAGACUCUUUGUAUCUCAUUGACACUGCAUUAAGUCUAGAUUUUAAAGACUCUGAAAAUGACUGAAAUUCUGAUGGUCCUCCUCUGUCUUGAUUUGGUGAUGAAGAAUGGCUAGCAGCACGAUUAUUAAAGGACAUUCCUUGACGAUUUGUAGGCAUGAUGGUAGAUCCAGAUGCAGAUGAACUAUGGUCCGUUACAGCAAAAGGAAAUUGUACAGUUUGUUGUGGCAAUUCAUCUUCAUGAAAUGCAAUUGGAGCCGAUGGACUAGCUACAGCAGCUGUAGCUGGUUCAUUUCCCCCUCCUACCUGAGUCAUUGAGGAAGAAACAUGACCAGAAGAUGGUGCACCAGGAUGAGUAGAAAAUACCAAGAAGUGUGGACGACCAUGGGAAGAUUGCCUAUAUCUUUGGCUUUCCCUCCUACCAAAGUGGUGGGUCCUUCCCAUAGCAGCUGCAGCAGCCAAGUGCUGGAUUAUACGCUCUUCAAGAUCAGAAUCACUUGCACCAACUGGUACAUGUUG